CACGUAGGGCGCAAGCGUUGUCCGGAAUUAUUGGGCGUAAAGAGCUCGUAGGCGGUCUGUUGCGUCUGCUGUGAAAACCCGGGGCUUAACCCCUGGCUUGCAGUGGAUACGGACAGACUAGAGGUAGGUAGGGGAGAAUGGAAUUCCCGGUGUAGCGGUGAAAUGCGCAGAUAUCGGGAGGAACACCGGUGGCGAAGGCGGUUCUCUGGGCCUUGCCUGACGCUGAGGAGCGAAAGCGUGGGGAGCGAACAGG
rnacentral:rRNA from 1 species